rnacentral:rRNA from 1 species
UACAGAGGGUGCAAGCGUUAAUCGGAAUUACUGGGCGUAAAGCGCGCGUAGGCCGUCGAGUAAGUCGGAUGUGAAAUCCCCGGUUUUAACCUGUGAAUUGCAUUCGAUACUGCUUGCCUAGAGUGUGGAAGAGGGAAGCUGAAUUUCCGGUGUAUCGGUGAAAUGCGUAGAUAUCGGAAGGUAAACCAGUGGCGAAGCCGGCUUCCUGGUCCAACACUGACGCUGCGGCACGGAUUCGUGGGGAGCGAACAGG